rnacentral:misc_RNA from 1 species
GAUAAUAAUUUUAGAAUGGCAGAAUUUUUGGCCGAAAAUAAUGCUUGUGGUCAAAAUUUAUUACACAUUGUUUCUGUAGGCAAUGCAAUAAUUGCGGAAACACUACGGCUAAAGGACUACAUUCCGGACAUUUAUCGAUUGGAAUCAAAGGCUGAUAUACAGAAGUAUUCAGAAAUAAUAUUGGAUUUUAGCUUUUUAAAGAUAGCCGAGGCACAAGAACAAAAAAUAGAAGAGAAUCCGGAGCUACAAGAUCUGGAUGAUGAAGUUCGCGAAAACUAUCUUGAUCUCUUAACCCGAUUUUAUUUGGCAUUUGAAAGUACUCAUCAGUAUGCAGUGGAUCUUAAGCAUUUUAUUGAUGAACUAAACCGUGGUUACUACAUCCAACAGACUCUUGAGUCCGUACUUCAAGAUGGCGAAGGAAAACAAUUGAUGUGUGAAGCCUUGUAUUUGUUUGGAACAAUGUUGUUGCUUCUGGAUUAUCAUAUACCAGGCGUUAUACGUGAACGCCUCUUAAUAUCAUACUAUCGUUAUAGUGGUGCAAAAGCACAAGGUGACAGCAACAUCGAUGAUGUGUGCAUGUUGUUACGUUCAACAGGUUUCGUUGUUGACACAGCACCAACAAAUUUCAACUCGAAGAAAACGACACCGUCGCAAUACCCGGUUUCAUAUUUUUCUCGCUUUAUUUUCGAUCAAAACUUUAUCGAUAUGGUUAUAGGACGUUUACGUUGCGACGACCUUUACAACCAGCUCGCCAUUUACCCGCAUCCCGAACAUCGCUCCACAGCACUUUCCACACAAGCAGCUAUGCUUUUUGUAUGUCUCUUCUUCACACCACAAACACUACAUUCACAAGUGUCGCAAAUGCGUGAAAUUGUUGACAAAUUCUACGCCGAUAAUUGGGUGGUAUCUAUAUACAUGGGUGUAACGGUUAAUUUGAUUGAUGCCUGGGAUGAAUUUAAGGCAGCAAAAGCUGCUUUGGCGCCAGUUGUAGAUACCGCAGUCAAGGGAUUAUGUUUGUUGCACAAGGAGAAAAUGAAAAAGACCUUAAAGCAAACACAGGAAAUUCUUCGAGCUGGUGUACUCUCUGAUGACUUCGUGCUGCAGAAUAUAACCAAAAUUAUACCUUUAAUGCGACAAUGCAAUGUGCUAUUACGCUGGUACUUCACGCAUACGUCAAAAGCGGUAUUAGUUCUAUCAAAAAGUAUACAAAAAACGCAACAGGUUGAGCAACUUGUCUGCAAUGAAUUAAAUUAUAACAAAGAACAAUUGUUAGAGCUUUUACUUGACUGUAGUCAAUUAGAGUUGGUCGUGAAGGAUAUAUUACGUAAUUUAAUCAACGCCAAAACAGAACGUUGGACACAAUUCAAACGUGAAGCGUUGGACCGUCUAAAUGAACUUAGUGAAGCAUUUGGUGGAUCGCGUCCUCUUUCAAAAAUUGAAAAUAAUUCACAGUUGAAAAUGUGGUUUAGCGAAAUAUCGAAAGAAGUUGAAAAACUCAAUGCAGAGAACGCUAAUAUCUCCGGACGCACAUUAAUUCAACUAAUACAAGCUCUAGAGGAGGUGGAAGAAUUUCAUAAUCUGCAAGCCAACAUGCAAGUAAAACAGUAUUUGUUAGAGACACGAGAGUUUUUACAUCGCAUGAUACAGAUUAUUAAUGUCAAAGAAGACAUACUCAUCAACAUUCAACUGAUAAGCGAUCUAAGUUAUGCUUGGCGUUUAUUGGAUCGAGACUUUACAACAAUAAUGCAAGAGAACAUAAAAAAGCAACCAAGACCUGUGAUCCGCUUGCGCGCUGCAUUCCUCAAGCUAGCAAGUGCUCUCGAGAUACCGUUAUUACGUAUUAAUCAAGAACGUAGUGAAGAUCUUGUAUCCGUCUCCAAUUACUACAGCACCGAGUUAGCGAAUUAUAUGCGUAAAGUGCUACAAAUCAUACCAGAAACUAUGUUCAGCAUAAUGUCCCGCAUUAUAACUCUUCAAACGGAGGUUUUGCGUGAAAUUCCCACACGCUUGGAGAAGGACAAACUGAAGGAGUAUGCCCAAUUUGAUGACCGUUACACAAUUGCAAAACUUACUCACAGCAUAGCCAUUUUCACUGAGGGCAUUCUCAUGAUGAAAAAGACGCUAGUUGGUGUGAUUGAGCUAGAUCCCAAGCAAUUACUUGAAGAUGGCAUACGCAAGGAACUAGUUCGACAUCUCGCAAACGCUUUAAAUGUAGGUUUGAUUUUCACAACAACGGGCAAAACGAAGCAACCACCGACAGCUGAAUUAGAAGCGAAGUUAUUGGCAUUGGCUAAGAUAAUGGAUGGAUACAAGCGUUCUUUUGAGUAUAUACAGGAUUAUCUAAAGAUACACGGUUUGAAGAUUUUACAAGAAGAACUCACGCGCAUUAUCAACUACAAUGUAGAGAAGGAAUGUAAUGCAUUUUUACGCAACAAAAUACAAGACUGGCAAUCACGUUACCAAAGUCAAACUAUACACAUACCGAGCUUUACGCCCCUACAGGGAGACAAUUCGAAGUCAAAUAAUUUCAUCGGUCGCUUGGCACACGAAAUACUCCAGUGUACAGAUCCUAAGCAAACAAUUUUUCUGGAACUCAAAGCAGCUUGGUAUGAGAAGCGUGCGCCACACAAAGAAGUGCUCAAUGCCGGCUUUUUCAGUAAAGUACGUGAGGCAAUUGGGCCUGCCGGCUUAGUUGGUCUUGAUCGUCUUUAUUCGUACAUGUUUGCAGCUGAGCUGAAGCGGAAUCUAGAAAAAAUGCAAAAGAAUUUGGCCAACGACAAUAUGUGGCUGGAAGCAUUGAAUAGUUUAAGUACUGAAUUGGAAUCGAAACACUUUCCUGGUGGAAAUGCGGCAAACCCACUGAAAUUCUAUUUCGGUUAUCACAAUCGUUGGUUGAAGGUGUGGCCAACUCUUUUGGAAUGGUUGCUACUGUUGGGCCACAAGCAAAUUCUUCGACAACAGUUGGCAUUCGAGUUGAACCGGAGCAGCAAAUGUAAUUCGAAAAAUUUAGAGUCGGCAUUGGAAACUUUUAAUAGGGGCUCAAGAGUUGCAGAAUUUACCAUGCUCAUUCCCCCUUACGCAAUUCGCACAAAUUUGUCCAGAUAUAUUGGAAGGAAGUAUUACCCAUCGCGUUGAACAUGAACUAACAACAAUUCGAUCCCUUAGGCUGUCGGCUGCUUAAACAUUUUGUGGAAAGGGAACGGGUACCUCUCCGAUCUUUCCCACAUCUUCCAUUCAGUGCCUUUGUCUUUUCAAACCGAUUUACCCAAAGUAUGUAUGUCCGUCGAAACUGAUUGUUUCCUGAGUUCAUAUAUGCAAGCUGUGCCUGCUGCUAAAUGCAGUUAACAAACUGCUACAAAAACAAUAACACAAUAUUUAAUUAGCCUUACUCAAUGAACUGGAACAACCAGCAAUCUAUACGAAAUUCACCGAUUCAGAACGUGGCGGUCAAUUGCUAUACGAGUUUAAUGAAU